UCAAAAUUUUGAGGAUUAUACCUUGAUGUAUUUCCAAAUGAAAAUGUGAGCAAUGAUUAAUGCACAAGUGGUGUUUCCUUCACCAGUGCAUAUAAUAAAUCAAGAGCAAGACCUGAUUUGGUGGAAACAAAGUUGUGAAAUUUGGAUCUUGAUUUGCACUAAAAACACUACAGUCCAUAGUGGCAACAACAAUAUCUGGACAACAUGCAGCUUCAUCUCUACACAGAAAAGAAUCAUAGAGGAAGUGCUAAAAGAUGAGAGCUAUAUCUGGGAGCUCAAGGCCCAGCUGAAUUCUCAUUUGUAUGAGUUGUAGGCAGGUCAAGAGGUUGCAUUGCAGUUGAAAACGUUUACAAGGGACGCUCAAGCAAGUUGCUAGUGUGAUCAACGCAGUGAUAAGGAAG